CCCAGAGGUAUUGAUGGGUGAACAUCAAAAGUUUUGAUUACACCAACCUGCGCUGAAGCGCAGGUUUUUUUU
rnacentral:sRNA from 1 species